rnacentral:pre_miRNA from 1 species
AGACCCUCCCAGACUCAGUUGGGAGCCUGACAGGCCUUCAAAGUCUUCAAUUGGGUUGGCGCUCCACUCUGCAAACGCUCCCAGACUAUGUUGCGAACCUGACGCGCCUCCAACGUCUUAACUUGGGCGGGUGCU